rnacentral:rRNA from 1 species
GUUAGGAAUAUUGGACAAUGGGCGCAAGCCUGAUCCAGCCAUGCCGCGUGAGUGAUGAAGGCCUUCGGGUUGUAAAGCUCUUUAGUCCACGAAUAUAAUGACUGUAGUGGAAGAAUAAGCCCCGGCUAACUUCGUGCCAGCAGCCGCGGUAAUACGAAGGGGGCGCGCGUUAUGCGGAAUCACUGGGCGUAAAGCGUGCGUAGGCUGUUUUGUAAGUCAGAAGUGAAAGCCCAGGGCUUAACCCUGGAAUUGCAUUUGAAACUACAAGACUCGAAUUCGGGAGAGGAUAGCGGAAUUGUCAGUGUAGCAGUGAAAUGCGUAGAUAUUGACAGGAACACCAGUGGCGCAAGCGGCUAUCUGGACCGAUAUUGACGCUGAGGCACGAAAGCGUGGGGAGCAAACAGGAUUAGAUACCCUUGUAGUCC